rnacentral:rRNA from 1 species
CCUACGGGUGGCAGCAGUGAGGAAUAUUGGUCAAUGGGCGCGAGCCUGAACCAGCCAAGUAGCGUGAAGGAUGACUGCCCUACGGGUUGUAAACUUCUUUUAUAAAGGAAUAAAGUGAGGCACGUGUGCCUUUUUGUAUGUACUUUAUGAAUAAGGAUCGGCUAACUCCGUGCCAGCAGCCGCGGUAAUACGGAGGAUCCGAGCGUUAUCCGGAUUUAUUGGGUUUAAAGGGAGCGUAGAUGGGUUGUUAAGUCAGUUGUUAAAGUUUGCGGCUCAACCGUAAAAUUGAAAUUGAUAAUGGCCGCAUUUAGGACAGGUGAGGUAGGGGGAAUUCGUGGU